rnacentral:rRNA from 1 species
AUUAAUAAUUAAUAUAUUUAAUAAAAAUAAUUUUAAUUUAAUAAAUAUUUUAAUGGGGGUUAAAGUAUUUUUUAAAGAAAAAAUUUUUAAAUUUAUAGUUAAUUAGUAUUGUGAAAGAAUUUUGAAAUAUUAUGAAAAAUAAAAUUUUUAUAAAGUAAUUUUUAUUUAUUGUAUCUUGUGUAUCAGAGUUUAUUAAAAAUUUUUAAUUUAUAAAUUAAUUUCUCGAAUUUAAAAGAGUUAAAUAAUUAUUAAAGUUAUUGUAGCAAAAUUAUUUUAAAUAAUUAUUUAGAAAUGAAAUGUUAAUCGUUUUUAAAUAUAUCUAGUUUUUAUAGAAAAAAAUUUAAUUUUAAAUUUAAAAAUUAUUUAAUUAAUUUAUUAAUUAAAUAAUUAUUUAAAUUUUAUAAUUUAAGGGAUAAGCUUUAAAUUAAAUUUUUAUAAUAUUAAAUUUUUAUUUUGAAAAUUUUAUAAUUUAUAUUGUUAAUAAAUUUUAUUUUGUUAUAAAUAAUUUCAUUUUUUUUAAAAUUUAAAUUUUAUUUAAUUUUUUAUAUAAAAUUUAUUUAUAAUUAUAUAAAGUUAAUUAUAAUGAUAAAAUUAGUAUAUUAUUUAAUAUUAAAUUAAAAUUAAUUUUUGAUUAAUAAUUAAAUUAAUUAAAAGGAAUUCGGCAAAUAUUUAUUUUCACUUGUUUAUCAAAAACAUGUCUUUUUGUUAUUUAAUUUAAAGUCUAAUCUGCCCACUGAUUUAUAAAAAUUGAAGGGCUGCAGUAUAUUGACUGUACAAAGGUAGCAUAAUCAUUAGUCUCUUAAUUGGUGACUUGUAUGAAAGAUUGGAUGAAAAAUAUACUGUCUCUUAAUUAAUAUAUAGAAUUUAAUUUUUUAUUUAAAAAGUUAAAAUAAUUUAAAAAGACGAGAAGACCCUAUAGAGUUUAAUAAAUUAUUUUAUGGAAGUUUUAUUUAUAUUUACUAAUAAUUUUAUAAAUUUAUUUAUUUUGUUGGGGUGAUAAAAAAAUAAAUUUAACUUUUUUUAAGUAAUUUACAUGAAUAAGUGAUUAAU